GGCUCGCCUGGAAACGUCUACUCUUCAGAAUUGAACCAAAUAUGCUGGGAGCCUUAAACGAGAGAAGCGCAUCUUCUAGUAUCUACUAGUAUUAUCGCUGUUAAUAUUAUAUGAAAUGACGCAUUUGGACAUUUCCUUAUCAGUGUUGCAUUGCAACACUUACCUGCCCUGUAAUUCUUGAAUUUGAGGCUGGUGUACGUUCUGUGUGAAAAUAUACUGUACUUCCUUCCUACAGUACAGAAGCGUUAAACUGUACAGUUUAGAGUUUCUCCUACUCUGCUUUCUGAAGACUCUGCCACAUCAGCUGUUUUUGAAAGUGCAAGCAGCAGGAAGAAUAGUAUACCUUGAAAGAAAAUUCGAAGAAAAAUAAGAAGUCCCACUUCCAGGUUCAAAAUGACCACCAUGACAUCACUUCCGGUUCACCCUGAUGACGUCAUUUCAGGUUACAUCAAUCCAUCAGCGAAAUUUGCCAAAGCAUUUUUGCAGUAAAUAUGAUGUGUUUGCUGGUGUAGCAAUUUUGACGAACAUUUUUUUCCCAGUGCUCCAUUAUGCUUUGUGAGGCCAGCAUGAUAGCACAGAGCUGUAGUAGCCAUGUCCACAACUUUCUCGAUGAAUGCUGUAAGAGUACUCUGAUUUACAUUCAAGUUACUCUAGACAGAUUUAUACCCCACAUGCAAUAAAAAAAAAUUCAAGAGUAUUUUCAUUUGAGAGAUACAAUAGCAGACAGAAUAUUAUAAAAAUGCUUUGUUGUUCAUUGUACAUUGUAACUUCACUGACAGAUUAGGCAUUUUAUGCCCCUCACUAUGCACCGCAGAUCAAGUGCUGGCAGGUACAGCAAACUAAUUAAAUAAUGCUGAUCCUUCAUAUCAUAUGGUCUCAGGGUGUGCCAGAACACACCGGUACACAAACAAUAUCUGCAGAUAUUCCAAAGCUCAAAUAGGGAAGUAUCAGUAUAUGGUACCACCAAUCAAUAUUUGAGUCUCAGCGGCUGUAGCCACAGGCAACUCAUUCUGAAAGGGGUGUGGGCCAAAUGCAUGCGCAAUUAGCUAUGCUGCGCUGCACCUUAUCAAAGAACCUUAAAGAAGCAUGACCUCCAGAGUCAGAAAACACAAGAGACCCUCUGA